rnacentral:rRNA from 1 species
UACGGAGGGUGCGAGCGUUAUUCGGAAUCACUGGGCGUAAAGGGCGCGUAGGCGGCCUGGUAAGUCAGGGGUGAAAUCCCACGGCUCAACCGUGGAAUUGCCUUUGAAACUGCUGGGCUUGGAUCCUGGAGAGGGUGGCGGAAUUCCUGGUGUAGGAGUGAAAUCCGUAGAUAUCAGGAGGAACACCGGUGGCGAAGGCGGCCGCCUGGACAGGUAUCGACGCUCAUGCACGAAAGCGUGGGGAGCAAACAGG